rnacentral:lncRNA from 1 species
CAGGAGGAUAGCAAAUUCGAGGCCACCCUCAGCAACUUAGCAAGACCCUGUCUGAGAAUAAAAAAAAAAAAAAUGACAAGUGCUGGGAUGUGUCUCAGUGGUAAUCACCCAUGGGUUUGAUCCCCAGUACUGCAAAAAAAGAAAAAGAAAAGAAAAAUUUUCAGUCACUCUAUAGGAUCAAACCCUCAGCGUGGCACUCAAGGCCUUUGGGAAUCUGGAUCUUCAAUCCUUGACUUUAGCCACCCCCCAGCAAAUACUCCAGUGACCCACAGUUCACCUCCUUUCGCUUCACACUUCCAUGCUUCACACCUGAACAUCUUUCUUCUCUUCCUGUUUCAACCCUUAAGAUCUAGCACACUGUCACCUUCCUGAGCCCUCCCCCCUCUGGAGUCUGCCCAAUGGGGAGGAAAAUGGCAUGGGGGACCCCACUUUGUGGGUCCUUGAGAUGCUGAGCUAUCCUGCCCCUGCCUCUGCAAGACCCAGAGCCUGGUUCAAAGAAAGAACUAGGCCCUGCAGUAGAGUGGGGUUGGGGGCGGGGCCUAGCAGGGUUGGGAGGAGCCUGGGAGGCUUCCUGGAGACAGCUGAGCCUGAAUCUGGACCCAAGGGCUUUCAUUGGGAUUAGUCAGGUGGCAAAGGGUUUGGUCCAGCGUGCCCAGGGCAGGACAGUCGGUGAAAGAGGUGUGAUACCUGCUUUUCAAAGAAGGGACCUGGGGCUCAAAGUUACGUAACUCACCCGAGGUCACAUAACAAGCCAUAGAGCCCGGGACUCAACCUGCAUGCAGGUAGCUCAAGCACAGAGUUUUCAUAAUUGAAAGUUGCAGGUGGCACCCGGGCAGUGAUGGCCAGUCCCUCUGUUUGCAGUGCACAGUUUUGAAAGAUUAAGGAGCGCAGACUUGAGGAGCCGGCCCUCCUCUGUUUCCUAGCCCUGGCACCCACAGGGCUGGUCACUCGUCACCUGCAGGUAGACGCAGGACCUAUCUCUUGCCCCUGCCUCGCUCCCCAGCUCCUGCCCUCAGCGUGUGUCGCCUGGUUGUCUUAUCCUCCCCCUGAGAUGAUGACCCUGCAUCCCAGAAAAGUGUCUCAUUGUCCACUCCCCUCCGUGGUGGGCGAUGAUGGGGGCCACCCACUUUGCUGUGCCGUCCACGGAGGUGAGCACACUAGGUCGGGAGGAGAACCACUGUUCAAGGUCUCAGGGCUGGGGAGAAGCAGAGGUGGGAUUUGAACCCGGCCCUCCUCCACUGCCCAGGCACGGGGCUUUGUGGGCACAUAGUGCCUGGGGGGUUCCAGCCCACACCGAGGGACCCAGGUCUCAGCCAGGUAUUUGCCGGAGUCUCUUAUGAGUGCC